GAUGAACGCUGGCGGCGUGCCUAAUACAUGCAAGUCGAGCGAACAGACGAGGAGCUUGCUCCUCUGACGUUAGCGGCGGACGGGUGAGUAACACGUGGAUAACCUACCUAUAAGACUGGGAUAACUUCGUGAAACCGGAGCUAAUACCGGAUAAUAUAUUGAACCGCAUGGUUCAAUAGUGAAAGACGGCUUUGCUGUCACUUAUAGAUGGAUCCGCGCCGCAUUAGCUAGUUGGUAAGGUAACGGCUUACCAAGGCAACGAUGCGUAGCCGACCUGAGAGGGUGAUCGGCCACACUGGAACUGAGACACGGUCCAGACUCCUACGGGAGGCAGCAGUAGGGAAUCUUCCGCAAUGGGCGAAAGCCUGACGGAGCAACGCCGCGUGAGUGAUGAAGGUCUUCGGAUCGUAAAACUCUGUUAUUAGGGAAGAACAACUGUGUAAGUAACUAUGCACGUCUUGACGGUACCUAAUCAGAAAGCCACGGCUAACUACGUG
rnacentral:rRNA from 1 species